AUGGCAGCAAGCACAGGGGCUUCAGGAUGGCUAAGGGGCAAGGUGAAGGCUGUGACAUCUGGAGACUGCCUUCUCAUCAUGGGGAGCACAAAGGCAGAGAUUCCACCAGAGAAGUCCAUCACUCUGUCAUACCUAAUGGCCCCAAGGCUGGCUCGUCGUGGUGGAGUGGAUGAGCCAUUUUCUUGGGAAAGCAGGGAGUAUCUGAGGAAACUCUGCGUAGGAAAGGAGGUCACAUUUAGAGUGGAUUACACUGCUCCUAACAUCGGACGAGAAUUUGGCACUGUCUACCUUGGCGACAAGAACGUUGCCUACUUGGUGGUUGCUGCAGGAUGGGCAAGGGUGAAGGAGCAAGGCCCCAAGGGGGGUGAACCACUCCCAAAUGUCUCUGAGCUUCUGAGGUUGGAGGAAGUUGCUAAGCAACAGGGUUUAGGCCGUUGGAGCAAGGAACCUGGUGCUGCUGAAGAUUCGAUAAGAGAUCUUCCACCAUCAGCAAUUGGCGAACUAAGUGGUUUUGAUGCAAAGGGUUUUGCAGUUGCAAAUUAA
rnacentral:rRNA from 1 species